AAUGGGCGCAAGCCUGAUCCAGCCAUGCCGCGUGUGUGAUGAAGGCCCUAGGGUUGUAAAACACUUUCAGUGGGGAAGAUAAUGACGGUACCCACAGAAGAAGCUCCGGCUAACUCCGUGCCAGCAGCCGCGGUAAUACGGAGGGAGCUAGCGUUGUUCGGAAUUACUGGGCGUAAAGCGCGCGUAGGCGGAUUUGUUAGUCAGAGGUGAAAUCCCGGGGCUCAACCUCGGAACUGCCUUUGAUACUGCAAGUCUAGAGACCGAGAGAGGUGAGUGGAAUUUCCAGUGUAGAGGUGAAAUUCGUAGAUAUUGGAAAGAACACCAGUGGCGAAGGCGGCUCACUGGCUCGGUACUGACGCUGAGGUGCGAAAGCGUGGGGAGCAAACAGGAUU
rnacentral:rRNA from 1 species